GGCGCGGCUGUGCAUGUCGCUCCCUUUCGCUCCUUCCCUCCCUCGUGCUCUUUGUGCUGUAGUUCGCACGCACGCGCCCCCUCCACCCGCCACCUCGGUACACACGAGAUCGAAAGGAGGUGAUCGUCGCGUGCGCAAGUCCACGUGGGAGUUCGAUGGACGGGGCCUCUCUGCGUGGCAGCCAUGCUCAGCUUCACCUUUGCCCUUUGCCUCUCGGCGAAACAGCUCUCGCAUGGCCCGCUUGCCACGCACACACGCAAGCAGAGCUUCCGGCAGUCGAGGAAGGCGCUGCAGAUGAGUCGACUGCGCUCGCAGACGCAGCGGGCAAACUUCAACCUUCAACAGGAGCUAAAUCAGGAUUUUGGCGCGCGUCAGCACGCCUUUGCGCAAGGACGGCUCUCGAUGCAGCGUGCCGCCGAGGAUCUCAUGUACGACCGUGCUUACCGUGCCCAGCGGCACGGCGGCAGGGCGGGACAGGUCUACCGCACCACCAAAGACCGCGCUGCGGAGAUGGCAACGGCGCGACAGCUGCUGCAGAUGCAGGAGAGCACGCGGAGGCUCAUGAAGAAGGGUCGCACGCAGCGUACCGAAUCUUUCCGCGCUCAGAAGCAAUGGAAUCGCUGAAGGAAAAUCAGCUGUGCGGCAGCGCAAGCCUCGUUUUCUGCUGCUGUUCGCUCUGCCGUGCUCGACACACGCACUCUAGAGAGAAAGAAAGGGGAGAGGUGCCUCUCAGCGCAAGUGGGGGAGGGACUGCACCCUUCUCCCCUUUCCCACGUGUAUAAGCCGUUCAGACGUCAACCCGCGUGUGCCUCUCCGGAAUGGGGGAGGGUGAUGCUGCCGCCAGCGGAUGAACGUAACGAGCCAGAGCAAUGCAGGACAGAGGCGAAAGAUGAAGCUCAUGGGGCUAUAUUUUUUUUUCGCGAUGUGUCCCUGCGCGCAGUAACAUGGGUGCUGAGAGCGAGGUGCGCGGACGCAUGCGUGUGCGGGCUUGGGUGUGCCUAUCCCCGGCACAG
rnacentral:misc_RNA from 1 species